UGAUUGUAGAUUUUUCCCUGAUAUAAAAAGAAGAGGCCAGAUACCAAUUUGUGUAAGACAGAUCUACUUGUUCUUUCUUCCUGGAUACUCUGUGAUCCCAGUAUGUUGAUCUUCAAAACCCAAUGGAUGGUCUACAUGUUCCCCAGAGCUUUGCCAUUGCAGACCAGCUGUUUAAGACAUAAAUUUGCUCAGGUCAUCCUCCAUUCAAAAAGCUUGUGCUGAUUUCUUGUAACUCGUAUCCCUGCACUUUCAUUUGCACUAUGUACUUCAAACACACGGACCUUCUGGGAGCGUGUAGUCUGUGAUCCAGGGAGGGGAUAUAUACUUAGCACCUCUUGAACAGCCC
rnacentral:lncRNA from 1 species